GGGCAAAUAGUGUAGUUGGUUAUCGCGCCCGCUUCGCAUCGCCGCGGUCACGUGACGAAGAAUUUGCGGGAGGUGCUGGGUUCAAUUCCCAGUUUGUCCA